CCUACGGGUGGCAGCAGUGGGGAAUAUUGGACAAUGGGGGAAACCCUGAUCCAGCGACGCCGCGUGAGUGAAGAAGUAUUUCGGUACGUAAAGCUCUAUCAGCAGGAAAGAAAAUGACGGUACCUGACUAAGAAGCCCCGGCUAACUACGUGCCAGCAGCCGCGGUAAUACGUAGGGGGCAAGCGUUAUCCGGAUUUACUGGGUGUAAAGGGAGCGUAGACGGCAGCGCAAGUCUGGAGCGAAAUGCCGGGGCCCAACCCCGGAACUGCGCUGGAAACUGGUAAGCAGGAGUGCAGGAGAGGUAAGUGGGAUUCCCGGUGUAGCGGUGGAAUGCGUAGAUAUCGGGAGGAACACCAGAGGCGAAGGCGACUUACUGGACUGUAACUGACGCUGAGGCUCGAAAGCGUGGGGAGCAAACAGGAUUAGAUACCCCAGUAGUC
rnacentral:rRNA from 1 species